GACGAACGCUGGCGGCGUGCCUAAUACAUGCAAGUUGAGCGCUGAAGGUUGGUACUUGUACCAACUGGAUGAGCAGCGCACGGGUGAGUAACGCGUGGGGAAUCUGCCUUUGAGCGGGGGACAACAUUUGGAAACGAAUGCUAAUACCGCAUAAAAACUUUAAACACAAGUUUUAAGUUUGAAAGAUGCAAUUGCAUCACUCAAAGAUGAUCCAGCGUUUUAUUAGCUAGGUGGUGAGGUAAAGGCUCACCAAGGCGAUGAUACAUAGCCGACCUGACAGGGUGAGCGGCCGCAUUGGGACUGAGACACGGCCCAAACUCCUACGGAAGGCGGCAGUAGGGAAUCGUCGGCAAUGGACGAAAGUCUGACCGAGCAACGCCGCGGGAGGGAAGAAGGGUGUCGGAUCGUAAAACUCGGUUGGUAGAGAAGAACGUUGGUGAGAGUGGAAAGCUCAUCAAGUGACGGUAACUACCCAGAAAGGGACGGCUAACUACGUG
rnacentral:rRNA from 1 species